CCUACGGGUGGCAGCAGUGGGGAAUAUUGGACAAUGGGCGAAAGCCUGAUCCAGCCAUGCCGCGUGUGUGAAGAAGGCCUUCGGGUUGUAAAGCACUUUCAGUGGGGAAGAAAGCCUUGGGGCUAAUACCCUCGAGGAAGGACAUCACCCACAGAAGAAGCACCGGCUAACUCCGUGCCAGCAGCCGCGGUAAUACGGAGGGUGCGAGCGUUAAUCGGAAUUACUGGGCGUAAAGCGCGCGUAGGCGGUCUGAUAAGCCGGUUGUGAAAGCCCCGGGCUCAACCUGGGAACGGCAUCCGGAACUGUCAGGCUAGAGUGCAGGAGAGGAAGGUAGAAUUCCCGGUGUAGCGGUGAAAUGCGUAGAGAUCGGGAGGAAUACCAGUGGCGAAGGCGGCCUUCUGGACUGACACUGAAGCUGAGGUGCGAAAGCGUGGGUAGCAAACAGGAUUAGAUACCCCUGUAGUC
rnacentral:rRNA from 1 species